rnacentral:rRNA from 1 species
UACAGAGGUCCCGAGCGUUGUUCGGAUUCAUUGGGCGUAAAGGGUGCGUAGGCGGCGCGGUAAGUCGGGUGUGAAAUCUCGGGGCUUAACUCCGAAACUGCAUUCGAUACUGCCGUGCUUGAGGACUGGAGAGGAGACUGGAAUUUACGGUGUAGCGGUGAAAUGCGUAGAUAUCGUAAGGAAGACCAGUGGCGAAGGCGGGUCUCUGGACAGUUCCUGACGCUGAGGCACGAGGGCCAGGGGAGCAAACGGG